rnacentral:snRNA from 1 species
AUAUUUACCUGGCAGGGGAGAUACCAUGAUCACGAAGGUAGUUUUCCCAGGGUGAGGCUUAUCCAUUGCACUCCGGAUGUGCUGACCCCUGCGAUUUCCCCAAAUGUGGGAAACUCGACUGCAUAAUUUGUGGUAGUGGGGGACUGCAUUCGCGCUUUCCCCUG